AUUGAACGCUGGCGGCAUGCCUUACACAUGCAAGUCGAACGGCAGCACGGGUGCUUGCACCUGGUGGCGAGUGGCGAACGGGUGAGUAAUACAUCGGAACGUACCUUAUCGUGGGGGAUAACGCAGCGAAAGUUGCGCUAAUACCGCAUACGCCCUGAGGGGGAAAGCGGGGGACCGUAAGGCCUCGCGCGAUUAGAGCGGCCGAUGUCUGAUUAGCUUGUUGGUGAGGGUAAAGCUCACCAAGGCGAUGAUCAGUAGCUGGUCUGAGAGGACGAUCAGCCACACUGGGACUGAGACACGGCCCAGACUCCUACGGGAGGCAGCAGUGGGGAAUUUUGGACCAUGGGGGCAACCCUGAUCCAGCAAUGCCGCGUGAGUGAAGAAGGCCUUCGGGUUGUAAAGCUCUUUUGUCAGGGAAGAAACAGCAGCUCUAACACAGUCUGCGAAUGACGGUACCUGAAGAAUAAGCACCGGCUAACUACGUGCCAGCCGCCGCAGUAA
rnacentral:rRNA from 1 species